rnacentral:rRNA from 1 species
UAGUCCACACUGUAAACGAUGAUUACUAGGUGUUGGAGGAUUGACCCCUUCAGUGCCGCAGUUAACACAAUAAGUAAUCCACCUGGGGAGUACGACCGCAAGGUUGAAACUCAAAGGAAUUGACGGGGGCCCGCACAAGCAGUGGAGUAUGUGGUUUAAUUCGACGCAACGCGAAGAACCUUACCAAGUCUUGACAUCCUGCGACGGUGCUGGAAACAGUACUUUCCUUCGGGACGCAGAGAC